GAAAGUAACGCAGUGAAGUUAUCUGAUAAAAAAAAGAUAAUAAUCUCAAUUAGAAAAGAAAAUAGCAAGACUAUGAACUAGCAGGUAUAUUGCUGAGAGAUAAUCAAACUGAGUUAUAAAACAUUGAAAAAAAGAAAAAAAAAAAUUGUUUUCAGCUAUUGCUACAAAAGGGGAUAAAUGCUAAUUAACUAUUGGUCACUAAAACUGUACUUAAUGCCCUCAAUUACUUUAUAACUCCAUUAUAAAAGCCCACUCUGAUUUCUGGUUAAUUUCAUGCAGUUAUUGUGAAUUAAUCAAAAGCUUUCAAAUAGCACACCACAAGUAGAAAUGUCAAGCCUAAAGAACCAACAUGACACAAUCAAUUCAAAUAUUCAUUUGUGAUCUAAACUGAAACAAUAAGCAUCAUAACGUCAUGAUACGCUGCUCAAAACAUAAUGCUUUAAGCUCUUAUUUGGCCAAAAUUUUCACAUAACAUCAAAGACAAGUGUUUGCCUCCAGAAAGGUUUUA
rnacentral:misc_RNA from 1 species